rnacentral:rRNA from 1 species
AUGCCGCGUGAGUGAUGAAGGCCUUAGGGUCGUAAAGCUCUUUCGCCAGGGAUGAUAAUGACAGUACCUGGUAAAGAAACCCCGGCUAACUCCGUGCCAGCAGCCGCGGUAAUACGGAGGGGGUUAGCGUUGUUCGGAAUUACUGGGCGUAAAGCGCACGUAGGCGGAUCAGAAAGUUAGGGGUGAAAUCCCAGGGCUCAACCCUGGAACUGCCUUUAAAACUCCUGGUCUUGAGUUCGAGAGAGGUGAGUGGAAUUCCGAGUGUAGAGGUGAAAUUCGUAGAUAUUCGGAGGAACACCAGUGGCGAAGGCGGCUCACUGGCUCGAUACUGACGCUGAGGUGCGAAAGUGUGGGGAGCAAACAGGAUUAGAUACCCUGGUAGUCCAC